rnacentral:lncRNA from 1 species
UUCUUCUGUUUGGCCAAUUGACAAGUGUUACAUGUACUAACAAUUUUAGCCACAUCUCUCUUUAAACUAGGCCAAUAGAAUUGGCGUUCAACCUCCUCAAUGGUCUAAUCACGCCCAAAGUGACCGGCUAACCCUUCUGCGUGAACUUCCCACACUAUAAAAUCUCGCACUGAAAUUCGAGGGAUGCACAAUUUAUUGGCUCAAAAGAGAUAACCCUUCUCAAGUCGAAAGCCAUCUGUGCUGUUUGAUUGUCCUCCUUGCAAAUCGAGAAAGAUAUCCUUAAAAUCUGGGCAUGCCUCGUAAUCCUCCUUAAGCCUUUCAAAACCAAUGACUUUGACACUCAUGAUCGACAAAAGGGAGACACGACGACUUAACGCGUCAGCUGCUUGGUUCUCCACGCCCUUCUUGUGUUUUAAAACAAAUGAAUAGGCCUGCAAAUAUUCAACCCAACGUCCAUGCCUAGAACUUAAUCUCUUCUGAGAGUUGAGGUAACGGANUCGGACACAAUGGUCUUGGGAAGUCCAUACAGUUUGACAAUCUCAUUAAAGAAUAACAUGACAACCUUGGACGCAUCCGAUGUUUUGCUACAGGGGAUAAAGUGAGCCAUUUUCGAGAAACGAUCGACAACCACGAAAACAGAAUCAUGCUUCUUUGGGGUGCGUGGCAGGCCUAGCACAAAAUCCAUACUAACGUCUUGCCACGGACAAUUGGGGACGGGGAGAGGAGUGUAUAGGCCUGUGUUCUGCUUCUUCUGUUUGGCCAAUUGACAAGUGUUACAUGUACUAACAAUUUUAGCCACAUCUCUCUUUAAACUAGGCCAAUAGAAUUGGCGUUCAACCUCCUCAAUGGUCUUAUCACGCCCAAAGUGACCGGCUAACCCUCCCGCGUGAACUUCCCACACUAUAAAAUCUCGCACUGAAGUUCGAGGGAUGCACAAUUUAUUGGUUCGAAAGAGAUAACCCUUCUCAAGUCGAAAGCCAUCUGUGCUGUUCGAUUGUCCUCCUUGUAAAUCGAGAAAGAUAUCCUUAAAAUCUGGGCAUGCCUCCUUAAGCCUUUCAAAACCAAUGACUUUGACACUCAUGAUCGACAAAAGGGAGACACGAUGACUUAACGCGUCAGCUGCUUGAUUCUCCACGCCCUUCUUGUGUUUUAAAACAAAUGAAUAGGCCUGCAAAUAUUCAACCCAACGUCCAUGCCUAGAACUUAACCUCUUCUGAGAGUUAAGGUAACGGAGGGCUUUGUGGUCCGAAUAAAGGACAAAUUCUUGAGGCAACAAGUAGUGGCGCCAAUAGCGCAAAGCCUGGACCACCGCAUACAGUUCCUUAUCAUACGUUGAAUAUCGUCGUUUGGCCUCAUUUAACUUUUCGCUGAAAUAGGCGACAGGGUGACGAUCCUGACUUAAGACUCCGCCUAUACCUACCCCAGAAGCGUCACAUUCAACUUCAAAGACUUUGGAAAAAUCGGGAAGACGCAUGACAGGAGCUUCUGUCAUUCGCUCCUUGACUAACUUAAAGGCCUUCGCCGCCCCUCGUGUCCAAUGAAACUCCCCUUUCUUCAUGCACUCCGUGAUAGGCGCCAUAAUAGUGCUAAACCCUUUAAUAAAACGGCGGUAAAACGUAGCUAAGCCGUGAAAGCUCCUGACAUCAUGAAUGGCCUUAGGCUCAGGCCAGUCAAUUAUCGCCUGAAUCUUAGUAGGGUCAGCAGACACCCCUGUCGACGAGACAAUGAA